rnacentral:rRNA from 1 species
GACGUAGGGUCCGAGCGUUGUCCGGAGUUACUGGGCGUAAAGCGCGCGCAGGCGGUUGGUUGCGUCGGGUGUGAAAGCCCCCCGCUCAACGGGGGAGGGUCAUUCGAAACGGGCCAACUGGAGGCAGGGAGAGGUCGGUGGAAUUCCCGGUGUAGUGGUGAAAUGCGUAGAUAUCGGGAGGAACACCGAUGGCGAAGGCAGGUCUCUAGGCCACUACUGACGCUGAGAAGCGAAAGCAUGGGGACGAACAGGAUUAGAUACCCCUGUAGUCCCUGAGCGGG